rnacentral:lncRNA from 1 species
UUGCUAAACUUUUCUAAGGUCCUUCUAUUGGACCCUUUUUAUGCCAUUUGAUAGUAUCUCUCUUUUGCAUUGCUGAGUUACUGAAACUGACCUAUGUGACUACCAUGUUUCUAUAGUCUACUACUUACUGAUUUUGCAAUUGCACGAUAUUUUUCUUUGUCCUAAAGUCAGGCUAGCACACUUGUGUGCUCUUUAUAUGUGCUGAACCGC